rnacentral:lncRNA from 1 species
CCGGAGACUUCUUUUCCGUUAUGUCUUCACAACAACUACCAUGGCGUCGGAUGGUCUCGGAUCCUUAGGUGGUUCGAGAUAGCUCAGGGAUUUCAGUUCUCUGCUUUGUCUCUGCCUUCUGUUGGGUUCCCUCAUCUUUUUGCAUGUUGAUGGGAGCUCAAACCUCCCCCGAUUUCAAAGUUUCAGAAAGAAUUUGACUUCCACUUCCUGCCC